AUGGCUCAACCUAAUGGAAAGAUAAUCUAUCUGUAUUUAUGUUUUUUUUCUUUAUAUCUUCCCAAAGAUUGAAUAUGCAACAUUUUAGCUUAUAUGAUUAGGAGUGUGGGAUCACGAAGGUAGUACUAAGAACAAAGAUUAAAGGACUAAACAUGUUGAAUUAAUUGGGUAGGUUAAUUUGGAGCUACAAAUCAAACAUGUUUGUCUCUUUUAUUCAUGUGUAUGCCAGAACUAAGGAGAAACUUAUAAAAGCGAUAGUCAAGUACCUUAAGGUUUUACCUUACUUGAAGAGUGAUGGUAUAUUAUCACCUUGUGGAAGCUUUCCUUUCUUAG
rnacentral:lncRNA from 1 species